AUCACUUCUUAGCCUUCUGGCUAAGAUCAAGUGUAGCAGCUGUUCUUAUCAGUUUAAUAAGAAAGAAAGAAAGAAAGAAAGAAAGAAAGAAAGAAAGAAAGAAAGAAAGAAAGAGAAAGAGAAAAUUUAAAAUAAAUAAAUAGUUAAAAAAAAAAAAAGGAUUUUUGUAGCACGGAGAUGGGAAUGGGAGCUUGCUUUGUCCAUUCCAUGCACUGGGCUGGUACUAAAGUAUUUCUAGGAAGAGCACACUCCCC
rnacentral:snRNA from 1 species